CAAAUCAAAAGUACUCUAAUAUAUUUGUUAUAGCACUCAGAAUAUAAUUUCGGCUUGGAGAAUAUCAAACAGAAUUUUGGGGCGCUUAAGAACGGCGUGUUAAUUAGGAACAUAUGUUACGAAGCAUAAAUAGUUCUCAAUUAUACUUUUUAUUUUUGCAUCAAUCAAAGAGAGAUUAAGUGAUUUUAACUUAUUUAUCAAUAAGAUAAGACUUAUAUAAAAAAUGAAAAGCUUUUAUCUUUGCGUUGUUUUUUUUGGUGUAAUCACAUGCAAUUUGGUCAAAAAAGUGGCAUUAGAUAGCAAACAAAUAAACAGCAUAAAUAUAAAAAAAAACGAUGAAGUCAUUGGUACUGAUUCGUGUCGUGCUUUUGAUCAAAUACCGUUGUGUGCUUCUAAUUUAAGAACAUAUAGAAACUUGUGUUCAUUUUCCGAAAUCAAGCGCAAAACAAAUGAUAAGAAUCUUGUGAUUAUUUAUUGGGGUUAUUGUAAAUAUUGAUAAUUGUAUAAUUGUAUAACUGUUUUCUUUUAGUAAAUUUUUUAAAUUGUAAUUGUUUACAUAUAUCAAGAUAAACUUCAGAAGUCAAA